CUUGGUAGUGAGUGAGUUCUCACGAGAUCUGAUGGUUUUAUAAGGGGCUUUCCCCUUUCUCUCUGCACUUCUUCUUGCUGCCAUCAUGUGAAGAAGGACAUAUUUGCCUCCCCUUCCGCCAUGAUUGCGAGUUUCCUGAGAUCUCCCCAGCCCUGCAGAACAGUGAGUCAGUUAAACCUCUUUCCUUUAUAAAUUACCCAGUCUUGGGUAUUUCUUCAUAGCAGCAUGAGAACAGACUAAUACACAGCCUUCUACAGGCUUGUGAGAUUUUUGUAGAAGCAGCACAGUGGUGGGUGAUCUGCUGGGCCUGGGGCUAGGGGAGACUGGCUGCACCUUCCUCUGGCUCCCUCUGCCUCCAGGGUGGGCUCCAGGUCUUCUUCAGAGAAUGCUGCUGGAAACUACCCAGCAAGGCCAAGCCCUGAUUUUACAGAUGGGCACGAUAUGUGUCUAAGGCGCUAUGGCCCGCGAGUGACAGAGCGAGGACUACAGCUCAGGUCUUUAGAGCUUUUUGUUUUCCACGCCAGCCACCCCCACUGCCGUCAGAGAUGGAGUCAGGCAGGGAGUGCUAAGAGUCAGAGUGGAAAGGAGGACACUGCACUGAGCACACAGAAGGUUCACCAGCAGGGAUGCUGCCACAGUCUCAGGAGUAAUUUGCAUCAAUUCGAUAAACGUUUAUCUGGAAACAUCCAAGAGUCAGGUAGUUCCUGUGGUAUAGCCUCAUCCUCAGGCAUGUUUGAAGCAGGUACAGCUCAUCCUACUCUGGAGGAUAUGAAGAAAUUAAUUAAGCACCAGCAGCGCCCAGCCAUCAUUUUAAAGAAAAUCACCAUUUAGAUUUUGGGGCUCUCUGGGUGGCCAUGAAUAUGUCUCACCACAGAUUAUAUUGGGUGGUAAUUUUCUUCUUGCAUGAACAAUGAUUCCUCCUAGAUUCGCUUUACAAUCUGGUGAAUAUUAAAUUGUUAUUACAGCAUCGCUUCUUUCACUUCAUUUUAUUUUACUACCAAGGUUAUGGGCUCAAUGUUGUAGUUAAGUUUAUUUCACUUACAAUCGAAAUCUAUUUUGGUCACUUGUUAGCUUUCUCUAUCUUGUUUGUAAAUUGGCUUCCUUUUCUGCUGCAAAGGUAGAAGAGGCCAGGGCACAGGCAGUAGGCUUGAUUUCAUGUUUCAAUAGUAGGUAGCUUUCUGCCAUUUGAAUAGUGACCUGAUUCUCAGACCCGUCGUAUUAGUCCACUCUAGCAUUGUUAGAAAAAACUACCUGAGACUGGGUAAUUUAUAAGGCAAGAAGGUUUAACUAGCUCAUGGUUCUGCAGGCUGUGCAGGAAGCAUGGCUGGGGAGGCCUCAGGAAACUUACGGUGAUGACGGAAGGCGAAGGAGAAGCCGGCAUGUCCCGCAUGGCUAGAGCAGGAGGAAUAGAGUGAAGGGGGAAGUAGAUUUGAAGAUUUGAAGAUAGUGAGAUUUGAAGAUCUCACAAGAUCUUCAACAACCAGAUCUUGUGAAAACUCACUAUCAUGAGAACAACAAGAGAGAAAUCCGCCCCCCUGAGCCGAUUACUUCCCACCAGGCCCCUCCUCCAACACCGAGGAUUACAAUUUGACAUGAGAUUUGGGUGGGGACACAGAAACCAUACCACCCUGUUCAAGGUGAAAUAGUUAAAUUCAUAGGUUAUGUUCCCUUGUUACUUUUUAUGUAUCCCUAACAGUUGCUGUGUCCAUGCAACUAUAGUAAUCACAUUUCCAGCUCUGCAC
rnacentral:lncRNA from 1 species